CUGCUGGAGCUCUGAGCCAGUUCUGAGGCAGUGGUGUCCCCUUGGGUGAAGAAGCAGCAUCAUCCAGGAAACACCAACAGGGAUCAAGAGUAGCUUGAACAUCUCCCCAACCAGAGAAAUCCCAUCUAGAGGCCAGAGGUUUCUAGAUAAAUCAAGAAGUGCCGUUUGACUGGAGGAACUCGCUCUCUCUUGCCUUGGCCUCGGCAAAAUCUCAUGGGUGAAUUCCUUCAGUGGCACAUGGGAGAGCUCUGGGCAUAAACUGGGAAUAACAAUGGAGUGAUGGGAUCUUUCCUCUGCCAACAGAAACUCCAUCAAAAGUCUCCUUGUGACAAUUCCUAGUGUUUGAUGCGCUUCACUGGCUGUUUGUGCUCCUGGUCAUCAGUCUGGAGCUGCUGCCUCUCCUGUGCUCUGGUGUUGUGAGGGUCUCCAGGAUGAGGUGAGAGGUGAGAAUCUGACUCCA